UACUAUUUUUUAUCAUUAUUUUAGAGUGUACUCCUUCUACUUAUUACAAAAAAAAAAAGUUAGCUGUAAAGCAGCCUCAGGCAGGCCCUUCAGGAGGUAUUCUACAAGAUGUGGAGAUGAGACAGUGAUGUAGAUGAUCCUCACCCUGGGUAGGCCUAAGCCAAUGUGUGUUUGUGUCUUAGUUUUUAACAAAAAAGUUUAAAAAGUUAAAAAAAUAAAUAUUAAAAAUAG